CCCUAGCCCUGAUAGUAGUGGAAAUCCUUGUGGGCUGGGGUUCAGCCCACAAGAUUGAAACGAAUAGCAGGAAAUAGC
rnacentral:sRNA from 1 species